rnacentral:misc_RNA from 1 species
GGAUAGUGACCAGCAAGUGGGAAGAAAACUGUGGGGUUUGGUAGUUUGCCAUCACACUUGCCCUAGAUUUCUUUCUUUUCCUUUGAGGUACGCGUCUGAGUUCUUGCUUCAAGUUUUCAGUGUUCAGGUCAAUAAAGAAGUGGAAAUGGCAGCUCAACUUAAGGAAAAGCAGAUACUGCAAAUUCAAACUGUUCUAUGUGACAUGCUUCUAAGAGAUGCUCCCAUGGGGAUUGUUACUCAGUCUCCUAAUGUUAUGGACCUUGUAAAGUG